CACAACUUUGGUGGGUUCCAAAUGUGGUGGUUGCUCAUCAGAAGGAAGGUAUAGAAGCUGUUCAUCUGGCUUCGGGACGCACCUUAUGCAAGCUUCAUCUUACCGAAGGUGGUCUUCAUGCUGACAUUAAUGGAGAUGGAGUUCUAGAUCAUGUUCAGGCUGUUGGGGCAAAUGGGGCCGAACGGACAGUUGCUUCUGGUUCUAUGGAAGUGUUGAAACCAUGUUGGGCAGUUGCCACAUCUGGUGUUCCUGUCCGAGAACAACUUUUCAAUGCUUCAAUCUGCCAUCACACUCAUUUCAAUUUAUUCCAACAUGGAGACUUUGCUCGAAGCUUUGGUAGAAAUGUUGAUGUUAGUAGUCUGGAGGUGGCUACUCCUAUCCUACUUCGCAGGGAUGAUGGGCAUAAGCAUCGGAAAGGAAGCCACGGUGAUGUUAUAUUUUUGACAAAUCGAGGAGAGGUUACGUCGUACACACCGGGCCUGCAUGAUGAGGAUGUCAUUUGGAGAUGGCAGCUUUCAACUGGUGCAACUUGGUCGAAUCUACCAUCUCCGUCUGGAAUGAUGGAAACUUCAGUAGUGCCCACUUUAAAGACUCUCUCCUUGAGGGCACAUGAUAAUCAUGAAGUGAUUAUUGCAGCUGGCGAUCAAGAGGCUGUGG
rnacentral:misc_RNA from 1 species